CCUGCCCAAUGAAUCAAAAUUUUAAUGGCCGCAGUAAUUUGACUGUGCUAAGGUAGCAUAAUAAUUAGUUUCUUAAUUAGAAGCUGGAAUGAAAGGUUUGAUGAAAAAAUAACUGUCUCUAUUAAAAUUAUUUAUAAUUUUAUUUUUAAGUAAGAAAGCUUAAAUUUUUAUAAAAGACGAGAAGACCCUAUAGAGUUUUAUAUUUUGAAAAUUAAUUUAUAUUUGGAAUUUAAUAUUUUUAAUUUGUAAAUUUAUUUAAUUGGGGUGAUUGAAAAAUUUAAUUAACUUUUUUUUUAUUUAAACAGUAAUUAUUGGUUAAUUGAUCCUUAUAUUUAAGAUUAAAAGAGUAAAUUACCUUAGGGAUAACAGCGUAAUUUUUUUUUAGAGUUCAAAUUAAAAAAAAAGUUUGCGACCUCGAUGUUGGAUUAAAAUAAAAUUUUGGUGUAGAAGCUA
rnacentral:rRNA from 1 species